rnacentral:rRNA from 1 species
GUACGUACAAGCAGUGGGAGCCUCUUUUAUGGGGUGACUGCGUACCUUUUGUAUAAUGGGUCAGCGACUUAUAUUCUGUAGCAAGGUUAACCGAAUAGGGGAGCCGAAGGGAAACCGAGUCUUAACCGGGCGUUAAGUUGCAGGGUAUAGACCCGAAACCCGGUGAUCUAGCCAUGGGCAGGUUGAAGGUUGGGUAACACUAACUGGAGGACCGAACCGACUAAUGUUGAAAAAUUAGCGGAUGACUUGUGGCUGGGGGUGAAAGGCCAAUCAAACCGGGAGAUAGCUGGUUCUCCCCGAAAGCUAUUUAGGUAGCGCCUCGUGAAUUCAUCUCCGGGGGUAGAGCACUGUUUCGGCAAGGGGGUCAUCCCGACUUACCAACCCGAUGCAAACUGCGAAUACCGGAGAAUGUUAUCACGGGAGACACACGGCGGGUGCUAACGUCCGUCGUGAAGAGGGAAACAACCCAGACCGCCAGCUAAGGUCCCAAAGUCAUGGUUAAGUGGGAAACGAUGUGGGAAGGCCCAGACAGCCAGGAUGUUGGCUUAGAAGCAGCCAUCAUUUAAAGAAAGCGUAAUAGCUCACUGGUCGAGUCGGCCUGCGCGGAAGAUGUAACGGGGCUAAACCAUGCACCGAAGCUGCGGCAGCGACACUGUGUGUUGUUGGGUAGGGGAGCGU